rnacentral:rRNA from 1 species
AUCCUGGCUCAGAUUGAACGCUGGCGGCAGGCCUAACACAUGCAAGUCGAGCGGCAGCGGGAAAGUAGCUUGCUACUUUUGCCGGCGAGCGGCGGACGGGUGAGUAAUGCCUGGGAAAUUGCCCAGUCGAGGGGGAUAACAGUUGGAAACGACUGCUAAUACCGCAUACGCCCUACGGGGGAAAGCAGGGGACCUUCGGGCCUUGCGCGAUUGGAUAUGCCCAGGUGGGAUUAGCUUGUUGGUGAGGUAAUGGCUCACCAAGGCGACGAUCCCUAGCUGGUCUGAGAGGAUGAUCAGCCACACUGGAACUGAGACACGGUCCAGACUCCUACGGGAGGCAGCAGUGGGGAAUAUUGCACAAUGGGGGAAACCCUGAUGCAGCCAUGCCGCGUGUGUGAAGAAGGCCUUCGGGUUGUAAAGCACUUUCAGCGAGGAGGAAAGGUUGGUAGCUAAUAACUCCAACUGUGACGUUACUCGCAGAAGAAGCACCGGCUAAC